rnacentral:piRNA from 1 species
UCGAAUGAGAAUUUAAAAAAA